AGUGAACGCUGGCGGUAGGCCUAACACAUGCAAGUCGAACGGCAGCACAGUAAGAGCUUGCUCUUACGGGUGGCGAGUGGCGGACGGGUGAGGAAUACAUCGGAAUCUACUUUUUCGUGGGGGAUAACGUAGGGAAACUUACGCUAAUACCUCAUACGACCUACGGGUGAAAGCAGGGGAUCUUCGGACCUUGCGCGAUUGAAUGAGCCGAUGUCGGAUUAGCUAGUUGGCGGGGUAAAGGCCCACCAAGGCGACGAUCCGUAGCUGGUCUGAGAGGAUGAUCAGGCACAAUGGAACUGAGACACGGUCCAGACAACUACAGGAGGCAGCAGUAGGGAAUAUUGAACAAUGAGGGCAAGAAUGAUCAAGCCAUACCGCGUGGGUGAAGAAGGCCUUCGGGUUGUAAAGCACUUUUGUUGGGAAAGAAAAGCAGCAGGUUAAUACCACGCUGUUAUGACGGUACCCAAAGAAUAAGCACCGGCUAACUUAGUG
rnacentral:rRNA from 1 species